GACGAACGCUGGCGGCGUGCUUAACACAUGCAAGUCGAACGGAAAGGCCCUGCUUUUGUGGGGUGCUCGAGUGGCGAACGGGUGAGUAACACGGGAGUAACCUGCCCUUGACUUUGGGAUAACUUCAGGAAACUGGGGCUAAUACCGGAUAGGAGCUCCUGCUGCAUGGUGGGGGUUGGAAAGUUUCGGCGGUUGGGGAUGGACGCGCGGCUUAUCAGCUUGUUGGUGGGGUAGUGGCUUACCAAGGCUUUGACGGGUAGCCGGCCUGAGAGGGUGACCGGCCACAUUGGGACUGAGAUACGGCCCAGACUCCUACGGGAGGCAGCAGUGGGGAAUAUUGCACAAUGGGCGGAAGCCUGAUGCAGCAACGCCGCGUGCGGGAUGACGGCCUUCGGGUUGUAAACCGCUUUCGCCUGUGACGAAGCGUGAGUGACGGUAAUGGGUAAAGAAGCACCGGCUAACUACGUG
rnacentral:rRNA from 1 species